GGACGAGCCUCUGGAGAGAUCCAUUUAGUUGGGCACCGAAGGAGAAAAACAGCAUUAAUGUAUGAUGCUGUUGAAACUCUCAGGUAAAAGGACAGAGGAUAGAAU
rnacentral:ncRNA from 2 species